ensembl:lncRNA
AAUUGUGUUCGUUGUCCGUAGCUUAUGCCUGCCCACACCAUAACCCCACCGCCACCAUGGGGCACUCUGUUUACCACGUUGACAUCAGCAAACCACUCGCCCACGCAACGCCAUACGUUGCCAUUUGCUUGGUACAAUUGAAACCAGGAUUCAUCUGUGAAGAGCACACUUCUCCAGUGUGCCAGUGGCCAUCAAAGGUGAGCAUUUGCCCACUAAAGUCGGUUACGACGCCAAAAUACAGUCAGGUCAAGACCCUGGUGAGGACGACGAGCAUGCAGAUGAGCUUCCCUGAGACGGUUUCUGACAGUUUGUGCAGAUAUUCUUCAGUUGUGCCAACCCACAGUUUCAUCAGCUGUCAGGGUGUCUGGUCUCAGACGAUCCCGCAGGUGAAGAAGCCAAAUGUGGAGGUUCUGGGCUGGCGUGGUUACACGUGGUCUGGACGUACUGCCAACUUCUCUAAAAUGACAUUGGUAGAGAAAUUAACAUUACAUUCUCUGGCAAAAGCUCUAGUGGACAUUCCUACAGUCAGCAUGCCAAUUGCACGCUCCUUCAAAACUUGAGACAUCUGUGACAAAACUGCACAUUUUAGAGUGGCCUUUUAUUGUCCCCCGCACAAGGUGCACCUAUGUAAUGAUCAUGCUGUUUAAUCAGCUUAUUGAUAUGCCACACCUGUCAGGUGGAUGGAUUAGCUUGUCAAUGGAGAAAUGCUCAUGAACAGUGAUGUGAACAAAUGUGUGCACAACAUUUGAGAGAAAUAAGCAUUUUGUGCUUAUAGAACAUUUCUGGGAUGUUUUAUUUCAGCUCAUGAAACAUGGGACCAACACUUUACAUGUUGCGUUUUAUAUUUCUGUUCAGUGUAAAUAUCCAGGCCAGUUGAUGUAAAAUGGGUUGGGUAUUCAAGUUGUUGAAUAUUUAAUGUCUGAAAUUAUAAGAUUUCAUGCAUCUGAUGUCUGCUGAUUUUGAUUUAUACAUUUGAAUUUAAUCUGGGGGUUUUGUUUUUUCCUUUCAAUUAAGCCCUAGACAACCAGGUGUGGGGAGUUCCUUACUAUUUACUUAAUUCAUCAGUCAGGUUCAAGGGAGGAGCGAAACCCGCAGACACUCUGCCCUCCUUGGAAUGAGUUUGACACCUGUGAUGUAAUUUCUUUAUGCCAUUUAUUUUUUUUAUAAAGUGUAUGUUUCAGGUAUCAGCUAAUAUUGGUUAUGUUUUAUGAUGAAAUGGAUAUGGAUUUGAAUGGACAACUGCUGUAUUACCAUCAAAGCUGCAACACCUGGAGUAUUACUACUGCGGUCAAUACAACUGGAAGACGUGUAUC